rnacentral:rRNA from 1 species
AUUGAACGCUGGCGGCAUGCCUUACACAUGCAAGUCGAACGGCAGCACGGGAGCAAUCCUGGUGGCGAGUGGCGAACGGGUGAGUAAUAUAUCGGAACGUGCCCAGUCGUGGGGAUAACGUAGCGAAAGCUACGCUAAUACCGCAUACGAUCUAUGGAUGAAAGCGGGGGGAUCGGCAAGACCUCGCGCGAUUGGAGCGGCCGAUAUCAGAUUAGUAGUUGGUGAGGUAAAGGCUCACCAAGCCGACGAUCUGUAGCUGGUCUGAGAGGACGACCAGCCACACUGGGACUGAGANACGGCCAGACUCCUACGGGAGGCAGCAGUGGGGAA